UCGUGAUCCACCCGGCUUGGCCUCCCCAAGUGCUGGAAAUACAGGCAUAAGCCACCACGCCGGGCUGACCUGGAAGUGUUAAGUAAAUUUCUCAAGGUCGUACAUCCAUCGGGUGUAUUCAAAUGGGACUGAAAUCCUACACACGUCUGUUAAUCUGAGACUGUAAAUGUCAAGAAAAAAAAAUCAUUUUUAUUUUUCUGGAGUACAAUGUAAAUGUAUAAAACCUACAGGUAGGGGUCUAUUUGUGUUUGUGUGCUUUCAGUACAUGCAGACACACGCACUCUACACACACACAUACACACAAUAGGAAAAGGAGAUAUAAAAGUACCACUCUGCAUAGGCCUAUUGCCCAAUUUUAAUUUGGCUCUCCUCCUAAUUUCUUUUAUACCUGGAGCAGAAGUUAUUCCCAGAGCUAAUUCAUACAUACACUCUUUAGCACAUGCCAUCUGCUUCUGAAACCUGUGGCUGCACACAACACGUGUCCUGUAAGGUAAGUAGUUUCUGAUCUCAAUCUAGAAUUAAUGUAGUUCCUGCUUUUCUUUAGGAAAAAUAUAGAAAUAAGUAACAGUAAUCCUUUUAUACAGCCAUCUCCUCCUGCUUAGGAAAGACCCUCACAAGCGUACACAAGAUGUACCCUCACAAUAGUCUCAUUGAUGUAUUCUCCAGAGUGCUUAUUGAUUUGCACUGAAGAUAUUGAAUCUCCAAUUAAAAGAAAAAAGUCCAAAUUAGGGGAAAGACCUGUGAAAUUAUUUUAAAUAAUAUUAUAAACUAGUAAUAGUUUGUAUAGUGUAAGGUUACUAAGUAAAGCAGCCAUGGCUUUUAAUUCCAUUUUCUGGAUUUUUAAAAUGUUGCAAUCUUAGAUAAUUCAACAUGUGUGAGCUCCAGUUUCCUCAUCUUCAAAAAGAAGUGGGUGGGCAAUAACAACAGUUAUGCAUCAUCUGAAUAUUGUAAUCAUCCCUAGCGAUAGAUGCAUGUGAAACAUUAAAUUCAGUGCAUGGUACAAAGUAGAUAUUCGAAUGUUAGCCAAGUAUAUCAUUAUAUUAUUAAACUGAAAAAGUCAAUAAAAUGAUAUAAUUAAACAACCAUAGUUGCUGUAAUUCACAAAUUAAUUGUUGAGAGCAAAUAGGGGUGGAUUCUGGAUAGCAGAGACAACAAAAUCAAUGUAUGGAUUAACGUGAGUAAAACAGCUUCCUAUCAUUGUGCUAGGUUUUGUGCCAGAAGCUUCACAUGCGUUGUUUUUACUGAGUCCUCUUUAAUAAUCCCAUUUCACAGAUAGGAAAACCGAGACUCAGAGAAGUUAGAUAAAUAGGCUAUGGUCUUAGGGUUAAGAAGUAGGACAGCUGGGAUUUAGCCUUUGAUUUUAAAGAUGAUUGUAGAUUUAUCAUUUGUUUUUAUUUACCCACAUUACUUUCUGUGUCAUUCUGUCAUGUUUAACCUAGAUAGAACACAGCCCUGGGUCUGGACUUCCACACUUUUGCUCCAAUAAGUGUUCAGUUAUAUAAUGUCCAAUAAAAACAUUUUUUGAGUUCCUUGUAUAAAUUGACAAGGUCAAUAAACUUGAGUUGCAAUUUUUUCUCCUGAGACGCAGACCAGAUAGGAAAACCAGAGCUCAGACAAUUCUGAGAGUUAAGUAGUAAUGAAAAAUAUCAGGGAGGUUCUGGAGACAAGGGGAAUGAUCUUGGGGUCUGAAGCCUAGAGAUCACAUUUCUCGGUGCUAGUUCAUGAGUGCUAGGAAAAGCCACAGCAAGUAGAAUGUCCCAGCACUAUGAACAAAUGACAUUACAAUGUACAGAGGAUGAGAUUGGAAGGCCAUACAUGCUGCUCUCUGGAAUUCUUACUCUAAGAAGCCUUGCCUGUUUUACAUUGUCGUAGGAGGUACAAAAGAAAUAAUUGAUUGCUUCAAUGUAUUUUCUCUCGGGGGCAUUUUUGCCAUUUCAGCUUCAAGACUAAUCAAUCGACGAAGCCAUGGCUGUGACAAACCUAAACUUCACAUGUCUUAACAGAUCUGCAUACAUAAUGCUUCGAAGGAAAAUAAAGAAAACCAACAAAGACAAUAAGCUGCUCCUUCUUCAUUUAGCCCAUCUCACUGUUGACUUCUCCAGAGAAGACGCUGUAACAGAGUUUGAAGAACAAGAUCUUUCUUGGAAAUCAACACCUGUGAAAGCAAGAGGGUAUAAGCAGAAUUGUGCAGAGGAAGAAGGUAAACCCCAAUGUAGGCCCAACUGUGCAUCUACUGAUGUGGCAAAGAGCAAAGUGAAUGUUGCUUAUCAGACUUUCUACAUUGGACCUGCAUGGUCAGGAAAUUACAUCCCUGCCUGGGUGAGUCACUGUAUGUAGUAUCCCCAGGAAGGGCAUGACCUCAUCAAAGUAGAUUUCUGCAGUUGAGACAGACCCUGAAGAUGUCAGAUGGAGGCUGUUUACUGACAAUACUCCUUGUAAUAGAACAGCUACCCCUUCCUUGUUUCCUUUGACUCUCAAACAAAAAAGACCCAUGCAGCUCUUUGGAUAGAAAUAAAUAUAUAGAUAUUUGGGUGCUGCCUAAGUCUUCUCCCAGAAGCAUCUGAGCCCUAGUUUCCAUGAGGUAAAUUAAAAAUUUGACCUUUUAUUAUAUUUAAGAGGGACACAUUCAAAGACCUAUCUUUGAAGAACAUGAAAAGUGCACUACAGAAUUCCUAACAUUUACCGUAAGUGAAAGGACAGCCCAUCUCAGUGAUCACCCAUAACUGUGAUUGUCCAUGUCCUACCCAGGCAUAGGGUGGAGCCAGAGAGCAGUGGUCCACUUAACCAGGCUUGAGUCUGGAUUGCAGUGUUAGAAUAUACAGUACAAAGAGAUCAGAAUUGGAGUGUUGAAAUAUACAAUACAAAGAGAGCAAGCUUGGGAGCACAAGUGUUCAGAGUCAGAUUGCUAAGUCAAGGCCAUAUAUACCUACAAUCAGAGAUGAGAGGGACAGACUCAUUUCAAGAUGGAGAAACAUUGCUUGAAGCAAUAUAACACCAGAAUGGCAAAUCCUAACAAGAUUACCUGAAAUGCUUUGGCCUCUAUCUUGACUUUCAUUGAUUUAGUUUCACUAGUAACAUUGGUAUAGUCUAACAUUUUUAGGAACAUACUAUGUACAAGGCACUGUGUUGAAUCCAGACUAUACAUUAUUUUAUUCAUCUUUAAUAUAAACCUAUGAUUUGGGAGUUAUUAUGUCCAUUAUACAGGUGCAUGAAUUGAUUCUCAUUUACAUUAAGAAUUUUUCCUAAGUCAACAGCUAGUAAACAUUAGGGCUUCUCUUCUUAGCCAGGUUCUACUGAACCCAAAGGGUACAAAAAAAGAUCGACAAUUGUAAGUCAGACUGAAGAUUUGGGUUAAAUACAAGAAGCAUUAUAAUGAUAAGAAUCAUCCAAACACAGAAUUGGCUAUCCUGGUGAAGAUCUCUCCAUCCCUGGAAGGGUUCCAACAAAGAUAGGUGGCCAUCUGUUAUGCACAUUGCAGAGUUCUGACUGGCUGGAUGGUUGAACUUAUGAUUUUACAAUACUCUUUCCAAUCCAGAUGCUCUAAUUUUAAAUCCCUGGUAACUCCUGCAAUUUCCAUUGCAAUCCUCUUUCUGAGGCAUUAUACAGCUGACAUGCUUCUCUAAUAUUUUGGCUUUCUCUUGAUGUAGAGUGGACAUUUACAGUUAGGAAUAAAAUUUGGAUAAUUUAUACUUUAAUACAAUUUGUACUAGAAAAAAAUAGAUGCUUAACUGUACACUAUGCCAGCAUAACCAAGACAAAGCUGGAACACUCUAGGGUUUGCCUCUGUCCAGUGUCACAUUCAGAAGAAAUUCUAAUUUAAUAUGAACCAAUAUUUGAAAAUUUAAAAGGCUAUUUAAAUCUACAAUUAAGUUUCAAAAAAAA
rnacentral:lncRNA from 1 species